UACGAAGGGGGCUAGCGUUGCUCGGAAUCACUGGGCGUAAAGGGUGCGCAGGCGGUUGUGUGUGUCAGGUGUGAAAGCCCGGGGCUUAACCCCGGAAUUGCGCCUGAAACUACAUGACUAGAGCAUUGGAGAGGGUAGCGGAAUUCACGGUGUAGCAGUGAAAUGCGUAGAUAUCGUGAGGAACACCAGAGGCGAAGGCGGCUACCUGGACAAUUGCUGACGCUCAGGCACGAAAGCGUGGGGAGCAAAAGGG
rnacentral:rRNA from 1 species